GACGAACGCUGGCGGCGUGCUUAACACAUGCAAGUCGAACGGAAAGGCCCUGCCUUUGUGGGGUGCUCGAGUGGCGAACGGGUGAGUAACACGUGAGUAACCUGCCCUUGACUUUGGGAUAACUUCGGGAAACUGGGGCUAAUACCGGAUAGGAGCUCCUGCUGCAUGGUGGGGGUUGGAAAGUUUCGGCGGUUGGGGAUGGACUCGCGGCUUAUCAGCUUGUUGGUGGGGUAGUGGCUUACCAAGGCUUUGAGGGGUAGCCGGCCUGAGGGGGUGACCGGCAACAUUGGGACUGAGAUACGGCCCAGACUCCUACGGGAGGAAGCAGUGGGGAAUAUUGCACAAUGGGCGGAAGCCUGAUGCAGCAACGCCGCGUGCGGGAUGACGGCCUUCGGGUUGUAACCCGUUUUCGCCGGUGACGAAGCGUGAGUGACGGUAAUGGGUAAAGAAGCACCGGCUAACUACGUG
rnacentral:rRNA from 1 species